CUCAGGCUGCCUCUCUGCAACCCCCUCGCUCCCAGGCUCGCCUUCCCGCGCCCACGCUGUACACCCAACGGAGGCAUCUUCCCCAAGCCCAGCUCGGAGAGGAUUAGUUUAGCACCUACUGUGUACCAGGCCCCCUCGUAGGAGUCAGUUAGCGUCGGGAAGGGCUGGAUACUCCAAGGGCUCGCUCAUUAAAGGUUCGCAACCUCUCCUUUCUCAUCCCCAUUUUACAUAGGAGGAGACUGAGGAGCAGAGAAGUAACAGCGGGUAGUAUUUCAAGGGAUGACUAAGAGAAGAUGUCAGCGGACUUGAAGAGCUGUCAGCUCCAUUAGGGGAGAUGAGCGAAGGCUGACUCUCUGCCAGAAGACACACACGAGGCUCAGGACAUAUCAGGAACUUGCCUGUGGUCACAAUUAUAGAUCCUACAAGUGAAGAUUUGAGCCCACACAGGCCAGCACCGGAGCUGCCUGGGCCAGGGGCAGUCAUCAAUUUUGAAUUUUUUUCGGCUGAGCACUUAGAGAAAAUCAUAUAAUGAAGGUGGAUGUAUCCAUUACCCAGCUUCCAUAUCAACUCAGGACAAGUCUUGUUUCAACCAUACUCCCUCAUCUACUGUGUGUGUCUGUAAAAGAUAAGAACUAUUUUCAAAAAGUAGCCACAAUACCAUUAUCAUACCUAAAAAAACAAUAAUUCUUUAAUAUCAUUAAAUGCCCAGUGAGUGAUUUCCAGUUAUCUCCUAAAAACAGAAAUUAUUUUUGUAAUAAGAAAAAAAAGGCUGAAAAAGAUAAAAUUGUCAAUCCAAAGAGCAGAUUAGUACAAGUUUCCUGGAGCUUUGUUUAGUGAUACUUAUCAAGAGCCUUAACAAUGUGCUUACCUUUUGCCCUAGUAAUCCCAACCUGUGAAUUUAUUCUAAGAAGAAAAAAGAACAUUGAAGAGGUAUACAAACAUUGUUCACUAGAGUGUGCAGUGUCUGUUACAGAGAAGUUGUUUGAAAACUAUUUGUUGAGGCCAGAUGUGGUGGCUUACAUCUGUAAUACUAGUACUUUGGGAGACUGAGGCAGGAGGAUUGC
rnacentral:lncRNA from 1 species